rnacentral:misc_RNA from 1 species
UUGUAGGAAUUCUGCAACUAUAUUAAACAAAAAGAGAAGAACAAAAAUGAACCCAAGAACUAGUAGCUAGAGCAGAAAAUAUAUCAUCAGCAGAAGUGUUAUUUGCCAAAUCCUAGACAUAGAGAUGGAUGUGAAGAAUAACAAGAAAUAAAAUAAGAAGCAAACCAUAGAUCACCAUGUGUACGAAUAUGGAAGCUAUACUAGUCUUCAUUUUCAUGAAAUCAAGAGGCCCUUCUUUCCCAGGAAUUUGAAACACCAAUCCUGGUGAUAGAAAUGCAAACAGCGCAGCAGCUAUCAAAGGAGCAGCCCAGUCGUUCAUGCUCUUCAAUCCCUUAAUCCUCUCUUCUCUGCUACUUUUAGGCCUUGAAAGUUGAAACCCCUAGUUCAAAGGAGGAGGAGAAGAACCAAGCAAAGGAUAUAUAAAAAAAGUAAAAAGCUUUGAAGAUAGGGAAGGAAUAGGAUUCAUUCCAAUAAAGCAAAAGAGCAUGAAGUAUCUUAUAUCAACAAUUUUAGAGCUUCUUGUUGGUACGUUGGAUAAGGCAAAGAGAGUUCGAGAGCAUCACUUUAGCCCGGCCGAAGGCCGUUUUGGCUUGUGAAUCGGAUUAAGAUCGGCUCAAGUC